GUUAAUCUUAUCCAUAAACUCUCUUUCAUGUGCAAUUUCUCUCCCCUUCAAACUCCCAACACCCUCUAAUUCAAAGAGUAAUAGCGCUGGACUCUUUACUUUGUUGUGUUGAAGGCUUUGGGCUGUUCUUGACAAUGGUGAUCGCGAAAUUCCUCCAUAACCAAGACUAAAUUAUUCAAUAACUAAAUAGGGAGUUAUAAAAGAAAAGAUGUCUACAAUGAGGGAAUUAGAAAAUAAUAAAAAGAAGAAAACAAUAAUAGAGGCCAAGGAUAUUUCUUGGCAGGAGAAAAAAUGUCUUGCAGAUCAACAAGAGGAUGCUCUCUACGAAGAUAUACAAAAUCUCACAACAUGGACCAAUAUGAUAGAUUCCAUGAAUGAUAAACAAUUGAAGGACUAUCUAGAAAAUAGACCAGAGGAGUUAAAGACAACCAAGAUCCCGAAGACCAAUCCUCAUCAUAAUCUAAAGCACAAAAAGGUUGGGAAAUCAAAAUCCUCCACUUCUAGUGGAAUUAUGGCUUCAGUAUGGAAGUUCCACAAGGAAGAUGAUGAUCAACACUAGUAGAUACUAGUGAAGCUAUCAAAUUAAGUGUUGAAUCUUCAACUUCAUUUUUCAUACACUAUUUGGACAAAAUAACUAUGGUGUAAGUACACAUAUUAAUUAUAUAGUUCAUGAAGUUGACCUGCCUUA